rnacentral:rRNA from 1 species
AGCUAACGCGUGAAGUUGACCGCCUGGGGAGUACGGCCGCAAGGUUAAAACUCAAAGGAAUUGACGGGGACCCGCACAAGCGGUGGAUGAUGUGGAUUAAUUCGAUGCAACGCGAAAAACCUUACCUACCCUUGACAUGUCCAGAAGCCUGAAGAGAUUUGGGUGUGCUCGAAAGAGAACUGGAACACAGGUGCUGCAUGGCUGUCGUCAGCUCGUGUCGUGAGAUGUUGGGUUAAGUCCCGCAACGAGCGCAACCCUUGUCGUUAAUUGCCAUCAUUUAGUUGGGCACUUUAACGAGACUGCCGGUGACAAACCGGAGGAAGGUGGGGAUGACGUCAAGUCCUCAUGGCCCUUAUGGGUAGGGCUUCACACGUCAUACAAUGGUCGGUACAAAGGGUUGCCAAGCCGCGAGGUGGAGCUAAUCCCAGAAAGCCGAUCGUAGUCCGGAUCGUAGGCUGCAACUCGCCUGCGUGAAGUCGGAAUCGCUAGUAAUCGUGGAUCAGCAUGUCACGGUGAAUACGUUCCCGGGUCUUGUACACACCGCCCGUCACACCAUGGGAGCGGGUUCCGCCAGAAGUAGGUAGCCUAACCGCAAGGGGGGCGCUUACCACGGCGGGGUUCGUGACUGGGGUGAAGUCGUAACAAGGUAGCCGUA